rnacentral:rRNA from 1 species
ACCCAAUAGAUACCCAGGUAGUCCACGCCGUAAACGAUGUCGACUUGGAGGUUGUGCCCUUGAGGCGUGGCUUCCGGAGCUAAACGCGUUAAGUCGACCGCCUGGGGAGUACGGCCGCAAGGUUAAAACUCAAAUGAAUUGACGGGGGCCCGCACAAGCGGUGGAGCAUGUGGUUUAAUUCGAUGCAACGCGAAGAACCUUACCUACUCUUGACAUCCAGAGAACUUAGCAGAGAUGCUUUGGUGCCUUCGGGAACUCUGAGACAGGUGCUGCAUGGCUGUCGUCAGCUCGUGUUGUGAAAUGUUGGGUUAAGUCCCGCAACGAGCGCAACCCUUAUCCUUUGUUGCCAGCGGUUCGGCCGGGAACUCAAAGGAGACUGCCAGUGAUAAACUGGAGGAAGGUGGGGAUGACGUCAAGUCAUCAUGGCCCUUACGAGUAGGGCUACACACGUGCUACAAUGGCGCAUACAAAGAGAAGCGACCUCGCGAGAGCAAGCGGACCUCAUAAAGUGCGUCGUAGUCCGG